rnacentral:rRNA from 1 species
GAUCAUGGCUCAGGAUGAACGCUAGCGACAGGCUUAACACAUGCAAGUCGAGGGGCAGCGGGAAGUCAGCUUGCUGACUUUGCCGGCGACCGGCGCAUGGGUGAGUAACACGUAUCCAACCUUCCCGUUACUCUGGAAUAGCCUUUCGAAAGAAAGAUUAAUACCGGAUAGUAUCGAGAGAUUGCAUGAUUACCCGAUUAAAGAUUCAUCGGUAACGGAUGGGGAUGCGUUCCAUUAGG